rnacentral:piRNA from 1 species
UGUUUGUUGACAUUAGGGCGCCU